rnacentral:rRNA from 1 species
CCUACGGGAGGCUGCAGUGGGGAAUUUUGGACAAUGGGCGCAAGCCUGAUCCAGCCAUUCCGCGUGAGUGAAGAAGGCCUUCGGGUUGUAAAGCUCUUUCGCAAGGGAAGAAAACUUAUCCUCUAACAUAGGAUUAGGUUGACGGUACCUUGAUAAGAAGCACCGGCUAACUACGUGCCAGCAGCCGCGGUAAUACGUAGGGUGCGAGCGUUGCUCGGAAUGACUGGGCGCUGUUUGUGAAGUCAGUGGUGAAAUCCCCGAGCUCAACUUGGGAACUGCGUUUGAAACUACAAGACUAGAAUAGGUCAGAGGGGGGUAGAAUUCCACGUGUAGCAGUGAAAUGCGUAGAGAUGUGGAGGAAUAUCAAUGGCGAAGGCAGCCCCCUGGGAUCAUAUUGACGCUCAUGCACGAAAGCGUGGGGAGCAAACAGGAUUAGAUACCCCAGUAGUC